UGGGGGAAGACCUACACUAGGCGCAGCCGUGCCCGCGAUGUACGCAGGGCGGUUGAGCAGGCGGGCCGCGUGCGCCUGGAGGCCGAUCAGGCCGCAAUUAGUGGCUAGGGGAUCGGCAUUAGUUAGUUGCCAAAUAAUAGGUUUCCUAAGUUAGUUCCUAGAUUGAUGGGCCAAAGGCCAUAUAUAUUCUGUACGGUGGGACUUUGAGGAUUAAGCAAUGAUUAAACCCUAAACUCUCUCUCUCUCCCAACUACUCUCAAGCCCGAGCCGCCGAGAGGGGCAUAACCUCCGCGAUCGGAAGACACGGCACCGGACUACGAACUACGCAGUCAGGGGCCGGCUACCCUAGAUUACCAGGCUCUUGACAACCUGGUAUCGCGAGUCAGACGUUCCUCUGCUUCCGCAUCUGCGUCGUCCUCAGCCGCCGGCGAUCACCGCGAUCCGCAGCCGCCGUCUCCGUCGUCUUCCACCGAGUCCACACUGCGCUCCGCGGCCAUGACAGAGCCAACGCUCGCUGACUUGUUCGCUGAGAUGAAGACGAUGAGCGCCGAGAUGCUCGCCCUCAAGGCCGACGUGGCCUCGAUGAAGGAGAAGUCCGCGUCCUCGUCGGGCAGCGGCGAUGACCGACGUCCAGGAGACCCGCGCGGGCAGGAAUUCCAUCCGAAGCACAAGAAGUGGGAUUUCCCCAAGUUCGAUGGUACCGCUGAUCCGCUCCUCUUCCUCAACAAGUGUGAAGCGUACUUCCGCCAGCACCGCACCAUGCCGGAGGAGCGGGUUCUCAUGGCGUCCUACCACCUGGACGACAUCGCCCAGCUGUGGUUUACCCAGCUGCAAGACGACGAUGGCACGCCUUCCUGGGGCCGUUUUAAGGAGUUGCUGAACCUGAGGUUCGGUCCCCCCCUGCGAUCCGCUCCUAUGUUCGAGCUGGCGGAGUGCAGGCGGACAGGAUCGGUGGAGGAAUUCUCCAACCGGUUCCAGGCCCUGCUCCCGCGUGCGGGACGUCUCGAUGAAGAACAGAGGGUCCAGCUCUACACCGGGGGUCUGCUACCUCCCCUCAGCCACGCCGUGCGCCUCCACAACCCGGCGACUCUCGCUGCUGCCAUGAGCCUGGCUCGCCAGGUGGAACUGAUGGAGAGCGAGCGACCGGUGCAGCCUCCUCCACGGGCGAUACCGCGCGGUCACCCGCCCCCAGCACCGCGGGCUGCCCUACCGGCGCCACCACCACUCCUGGCGCUACCAGCUCCCCCGGCGGCUGCACAACAGGGGCGCGGGGACGGGGGCCAACGUCGCCUGACCCCAGACGAGAUGGCAGAACGACGCCGCCUCGGGUUAUGUUUUAAUUGCAAUGAGAAAUAUACCCGUGGUCACAACCGUGUGUGCAGGCGUCUCUUCUUCGUCGACGGCGUGGUGAUCGACGCGGGGGGGGGCGACAACAGCGGGGACACCGCUGAAGACGGGGACGCUGAGGCCCCUGUUUUCUCUCUUCACGCAGUGGCGGGCGUUCCCAUGGCACGGACCGUACAGAUUCAGGUCACCGUCGGCGGCACGCCCCUCAUCGCCCUCCUCGACACGGGGUCGACCCAUAACUUCAUCGCCGAAGACGCGGCGGUGCGCUCCGGCCUCCCCAUCCAGUCCAGACCCCGACUCACGGCCACGGUGGCCAACGGCGAGAAAGUCCCGUGCCCGGGGGUCAUCCGGGACGCUCCACUCGUGGUCCAGAACGAUGUCUUCGCCGUCGACCUCUUCGUCAUGCCUCUUGCUGGGUUUGACGUCGUCCUGGGGAUGCAGUGGAUGGCCACCCUGGGCCGCCUGGUGUGGGAUUUUGGGGCGGGCACAGUCGCCUUCACGCGGCAGGGCCGCACGGUGUGCUGGUCCGGGGUGGCUCCUACGAGCACCCACGGCUCCUGCACGACGACGUCGUCGGCGCCCCUCCUCGACGACCUCCUGGCCGACUACGCCGACGUCUUCGCGGAGCCUCGUGGCUUGCCGCCCCAGCGUGCCCGUGACCACUGCAUCGUCCUCAAACCGGGGGCUCCGCCGGUGGCUGUUCGCCCAUACCGGUACCCGGCGGCGCACAAGGACGAGCUGGAACGCCAGUGCACCGCCAUGAUCGAGCACGGGAUCGUUCGCCGCAGCGACUCCGCCUUCUCCUCGCCGGUCAUCCUCGUCAAGAAGGCGGACGGCUCGUGGCGCUUCUGCGUCGACUACCGCGCGCUCAACGCGCUCACGGUCAAGGACGCGUUCCCGAUCCCCGUCGUCGACGAGCUACUCGACGAGCUCCACGGUGCCCGGUUCUUCACCAAGCUCGACUUACGGUCUGGGUACCAUCAGGUCCGCAUGAAGCCAGCAGACAUCCACAAGACGGCGUUCCGGACGCAUGAUGGGCUCUAUGAGUUCCUCGUCAUGCCGUUCGGGUUGUGCAACGCGCCCGCGACGUUCCAAGCACUAAUGAACGACGUACUCCGGGCCUUCUUACGGCGGUUUGUUUUGGUCUUUUUUGAUGAUAUUCUCAUAUACAGCAGCUCCUGGACCGAUCACCUUCGCCAUCUCCGCAAUGUGCUCUCGGAGCUGCGCCGCCACCAGCUGUUCGUCAAGCGCAGCAAGUGCGCCUUUGGCGAGUCCUCGGUCGCGUACCUCGGCCACACCAUCUCGGCGUCCGGUGUCGCCAUGGACUCGGCCAAAGUGCAGGCCAUCGUCGACUGGCCUGUUCCUCGCUCGGCGCGGGCGGUUCGUGGCUUCCUCGGUCUUGCGGGGUACUACCGCAAAUUUGUGCACAACUACGGUACCGUCGCCGCCCCGCUGACCGCUCUCCUGAAGAAGGAGGGUUUCUGCUGGAACGACGACGCCGCAGCAGCGUUCACGGCGCUCAAAGCGGCCGUCACCUCGGCGCCCGUCCUCGCCAUGCCGGACUUCUCCAAGCCAUUCAUCGUCGAGUGCGACGCAUCUUCGCACGGGUUCGGUGCCGUGCUCAUCCAGGAGGGCCACCCCAUCGCCUUCUUCAGCCGGCCGAUAGCACCUCGCCACCGAUCCCUCGCGGCCUACGAGCGGGAGCUGAUCGGUCUUGUCCACGCCGUGCGGCACUGGCGGCCGUACCUGUGGGGACGACGUUUUCUCGUGAGGACCGACCACUACAGCUUGAAGUAUUUGCUGGACCAGCGCCUGGCGACAAUUCCCCAACAUCACUGGGUGGGGAAACUACUCGGCUUCGACUUUGCAGUGGAGUACAAGCCGGGCGCGGCUAAUGCAGUGGCAGACGCCCUCUCCCGCCGUGACACGGAGGACGGCGCCAUCCUGUCCUUGUCCGCGCCCCGGUUCGACUUCGUGGAUCGCCUGCGGCGCGCGCAGGACGAGGAUCCCGGGCUGGUGGCGCUCCGGGAUGAGGUUGCCGCCGGCACCCGUGGCGCGCCAUGGUCGCUGGUGGACGGCAUGGUCCAGUAUCAGGGCCGUCUGUACAUCCCGCCGGCCUCCCCUCUUCUCCAGGAGAUACUGCAGGCUGUGCACGAGGAGGGCCAUGAGGGUGUGCAGCGCACCUUGCACAGGUUGCGCCGUGACUUCCACUUUCCUGAUAUGAAGCGGCUGGUGCAGGACUUCGUCAAGGGCUGCGUAGUGUGCCAACGCUACAAGUCUGAACACAUGAACCCGGCUGGGCUGCUGCUUCCCCUGCCAGUACCCCAGUCGGUCUGGAGCGACAUUGCGAUGGACUUCGUGGAGGCGCUGCCCCGUGUACGCGGCAAGUCCGUCAUCCUCACGGUGGUCGAUCGCUUCAGCAAAUACUGCCACUUCAUUCCGCUGGCGCAUCCAUACUCGGCGGAGUCCGUGGCUCAGGCGUUCUUCACCGACAUCGUCCGCCUCCACGGAGUGCCGCAGUCGAUCGUGUCGGACCGCGAUCCGGUGUUCACCUCGACGUUCUGGCGCGAGCUCAUGUCCCUGCUCGGCACCAAGCUCCACAUGUCAACGGCCUUCCACCCGCAGUCCGACGGCCAGUCCGAGUCGGCUAAUCGGGUCAUCGUCAUGUAUCUCCGUUGUCUUACUGGUGAUCGACCGAGGCAAUGGCUGCGCUGGCUUCCAUGGGCGGAGUUCGUCUUCAACACCGCUUUCCAGUCCUCCCUGCGCGACACGCCGUUCCGGGUUGUCUAUGGCCGGGACCCCCCAACCAUCCGGUCCUAUGAGCCUGGCGAGUCCAGGGUGCCGGCGGUCGCCCGCAGCAUGGAGGAACGGGCGGAGUUCCUCGCGGACGUUCGCUACCGGCUGGAGCAAGCACAGGCCGUCCACAAGAAGUACUACGACGCCCACCACAGGCCGGUGGUCUAUCAGGUCGGGGACUGGGCGCUGCUGCGCCUUCGCCACCGGGCUCCAGCCUCACUGCCUCUGCAAGCCACCGGGAAGCUCAAGCCUCGGUUCUACGGGCCCUAUCAGGUGGUGGAGCUCAUCAACGACGUCGCGGUGCGUCUUGCGCUGCCCCCGGGUGCUCGCCUUCACGAUGUGUUCCAUGUGGGCACUCUCAAGAAGUUCCAUGGCACGCCGCCUACAGCUGCCCCGCCCUUGCCACCUCUUCACUUUGGAGCAGUGGCACUGCAGCCAGAACGUGCGGUGCGCUUCAGGCAUGCCCGCGGUAUUCGUCAGGUCCUGGUCCAGUGGGCUGGACAGUCAGCCGCCUCCUCCACCUGGGAAGAUGUCGAAGAUUUCAAGACCAAGUACCCACAGUUCCAGCUCGAGGACGAGCUGAGUCUCGGCGGGGAGGGAGAUGUCAUGUGGGGGAAGACCUACACUAGGCGCAGCCGUGCCCGCGAUGUACGCAGGGCGGUUGAGCAGGCGGGCCGCGUGCGCCUGGAGGCCGAUCAGGCCGCAAUUAGUGGCUAGGGGAUCGGCAUUAGUUAGUUGCCAAAUAAUAGGUUUCCUAAGUUAGUUCCUAGAUUGAUGGGCCAAAGGCCAUAUAUAUUCUGUACGGUGGGACUUUGAGGAUUAAGCAAUGAUUAAACCCUAAACUCUCUCUCUCUCCCAACUACUCUCAAGCCCGAGCCGCCGAGAGGGGCAUAACCUCCGCGAUCGGAAGACACGGCACCGGACUACGAACUACGCAGUCAGGGGCCGGCUACCCUAGAUUACCAGGCUCUUGAC
rnacentral:lncRNA from 1 species